UUAAGUGAUCCACCUGGGGAGUACGACCGCAAGGUUGAAACUCAAAGGAAUUGACGGGGGCCCGCACAAGCGGAGGAACAUGUGGUUUAAUUCGAUGAUACGCGAGGAACCUUACCUGGGCUUAAAUGUAGAACGCCGGAUCGGGAAACUGAUCUUUCUUCGGACGGUCUGCAAGGUGCUGCAUGGCUGUCGUCAGCUCGUGCCGUGAGGUGUCGGGUUAAGUCCCAUAACGAGCGCAACCCUCAUCAUUAGUUGCCAGCGGGUAAUGCCGGGGACUCUAAUGAAACUGCCGGUGUAAACCGAGAGGAAGGUGGGGAUGACGUCAAGUCAGCACGGCCCUUAUGUCCAGGGUUACACACGUGUUACAAUGGUAGGUACAGAGGGCAGCUACCGGGUGACCGGAUGCAAAUCUCGAAAACCUAUCUCAGUUCGGAUCGAAGUCUGCAACUCGACUUCGUGAAGCUGGAUUCGCUAGUAAUCGCGCAUCAGCCACGGCGCGGUGAAUACGUUCCCGGGCCUUGUACACACCGCCCGUCAAGCCAUGGAAGCUGGGGGUACCUGAAGU
rnacentral:rRNA from 1 species